rnacentral:rRNA from 1 species
GGCUCAGGACGAACGCUGGCGGCGUGCUUAACACAUGCAAGUCGAACGCUGAAGCUUGGGUGCUUGCAUCUGGGUGGAUGAGUGGCGAACGGGUGAGUAAUACGUGAGUAACCUGCCCUUGACUCUGGGAUAAGCCUGGGAAACUGGGUCUAAUACUGGAUACUACAUUCUCUCGCAUGGGGGUGUGUGGAAAGGGUUUUACUGGUUUUGGAUGGGCUCACGGCCUAUCAGCUUGUUGGUGGGGUAAUGGCCUACCAAGGCGACGACGGGUAGCCGGCCUGAGAGGGUGACCGGCCACACUGGGACUGAGACACGGCCCAGACUCCUACGGGAGGCAGCAGUGGGGAAUAUUGCACAAUGGGCGAAAGCCUGAUGCAGCGACGCCGCGUGAGGGAUGACGGCCUUCGGGUUGUAAACCUCUUUCAGCACGGAAGAAGCGAAAGU